rnacentral:rRNA from 1 species
AGAAUCAACGCUGGCGGCGUGCCUAACACAUGCAAGUCGAACGAGAAAGUGGAGCAAUCCAUGAGUAAAGUGGCGACCGGGUGAGUAACACGUGACUAACCUACCUUCGAGUGGGGGAUAACCUCGGGAAACCGAGGCUAAUACCGCAUAACAUCGCAAGAUCAAAGCAGCAAUGCGCUGGAAGAGGGGGUCGCGGCUGAUUAGCUAGUUGGCGGGGUAACGGCCCACCAAGGCGAAGAUCGGUAUCCGGCCUGAGAGGGCGCACGGACACACUGGAACUGAAACACGGUCCAGACUCCUACGGGAGGCAGCAGUGGGGAAUUUUGCGCAAUGGGGGAAAUCCUGACGCAGCAACGCCGCGUGGAGGAUGAAGCCCCUUGGGGCGUAAACUCCUUUCGACCAAGACGAUAAUGACGGUACUGGUGGAAGAAGCACCGGCUAACUCUGCGCCAGCAGCCGC